CCAAAAUACGCGUUCGGCGUGUGCACACUAUCUAGUGGACUUUGUUUUCAAACGCUCAAGUCACUCGCACGUGCGCUGUUGUUAUCCACGCAAAAAUUGGGACCUUCCUGAUGACGGGAAUUACGUCGCACGAACGGAGAUGGGCCAGGUGUCAUUGUGAAUAAAGCACCGCUGUAGAGAAGGUUCAUCACCAGCCCUGGAGAGGAGAGAGAGAAGGGGAGGAAAGAUGGAAGAAAUAGAAAGGGGAAACGUGAUGAAUGAUUGCUGAGAUAGAGGACCAAGAGAUGGCUAACCUUGGCGUAAUGGUCUGUGGCAGAGCCUUGACUCUCUGUGUUAUUGGUGCUGUCAGUCAUAACCAGGAAAGAGGCAAAGCUUAACUGCUCCGGUGACCUGACUAGUCCGGGAUUUCAAACAUACUGGGUGCUUUACAUUUUGUAUCCAGAUUUUAACGUCAUGUUUCAAGUUUACAAGGUGAACUCAGUGGUUUUUCACUCAUUAAAAUAG